rnacentral:lncRNA from 1 species
AGGGUAUGGCCACGGACAUGGAGGGUAUGGCCAUGGCCACCACGGCAAAGGGGGGCCUUGUGCUGCUGAGACUGAAACCAAGAAUUAGAUAACCUGUUAGUUUGUGACUUACGUUGCAGGUGUGUUGUAAGGGUUGUGGUACAAAAUAAAGUUGUUUGGUUGAGUAAUCUAUAUGAACUCUCAAUCAUAGACUCUUCUUAAGCUUGUUCUCGUGUUCUCUGUAAUGUACGCAUUGGAAUGUGUUCUCUUGUUAUGUGAUAAAAUGUGAUUUAACUUGCUCAAUACAUAUUAUGUCAAAAAUGUUUAGUAUGGCUUGGCUCCUUAAAAUUGAGAGGGAGCACAUCCUCACAACAAACGAGAUUUUGGCACUAGUUAAACUUCACAAAAAUUAAAUUUAAAAAAAAAAAAAAAAAAAGAUUAAAAGAACUCAGAAGAAAAAAAAUUAAAGGAAUUUGCCAAGUGUCAAACCUCUAUUUGUUUUGAGGAGGAACUGCUCCUCAGUUUUAUGGAGCCAAACCUUUUCCUAAUAUUAAUGGAGUUCAUGUAUGACUCAUUUGUUUUGUGUGAUCACCAUUUGGUUAAUGAAUUGUGCGCAAAAUUUAAUAGGAUACGGAUCAUCUGCUAUGAUUUUAGUCCCCUAAUAGAAUGGAUCCUACUUUGGAGCACAUGUGGUAUCGGUAGUUCCUACUCGCACUCACAAAUACAUAUUGGUUGGUCCAUUAAAAUGCAAAUAUCACCUCUCAUAUCAUUAUGCGAACAUUGGGAACAAGAGUAGUGUUUCCACCGUUGACAAGGGAUGGAAGAUCUAGCUCGACGGAAAAAUAAGGAGUAAAACUUAUAGAAGCAUGCAUGCCGUGUAUGUAUUGUUGUUAUCAUGGAUACUAAUUUGGCAAUUAAUUUUCUAAUGGGUGAAUUAAAAAAACAUUUUUAAUCUAUAUAUGUAAAGUUAAAUAUCCUUUCUUGAUGAACAAUUUGUAAUUGCAUCUCUGUAAUUUUUAUGGGUUUGUGUUCUUGGUGGUUGACUAGUCAUUGUAUGAAUGUUGAAUAUGAGUAAGGUUCAUGGAGACAAAAUUGGUUUUGGUUAUGGUUGUUCUAGUUUAUGCGUUCCUCCUUCUUUGACCACAUUUGUCAAGGAGUCAAAUAAAAAAUUUGAUGUUUUAGAGCCAACUAGGACUCAAAGAUUCAUUCCUACUUGUCACCAUUGUGGUGUGAAAGGUCACAUCCAACCUAGGUGUAAUGCUCUAAGGAAUGUGUCUAGAGCAACCAAUGCAAAUGGCUUUAAGAACCAUGUUUCAUCUCUUAAAACAUGUGAGCUUGCAAAAUCUGUUCUUUGUAAAAGGGAUAAACCAAAAAGGUUCAUUCCUACUUGCCAUCAUUGUGGCACAUUGGGACACAUAAGAUCAAAGUAUUUUGAGUUUAGGAAUUUUGAGAAAAAGUCUUUUGUUCAUUUCAAGAAAGUAAAUGAUGACUCACUUCAAGUUGAAGCCAUGGCAGAGGCAUGAGAGGCGAGAAAGACUAUGUACUUUUAUAGUGUUAUCCCCGACUAAUAACACCAUAACAUUCGUGAUAAUAUUUUAAUGUGGAAUAAUAUUAUUGAUCGAAUAUAACAAAAUAGUACUAUCCCCGUUGCGACUACGUUUUUAUCCGUGGACUGCUAGGCUUACCUAGUCUUUAAAAUGCAGUUGAAGAAUUUAUUAUUAUGAAAAUGACGUGAGAGAGGGAGGGGGUCAUAUAUUUUCAGAAUAAUUUUGCUAAAAAACGAAAGCAGAAGAAUUAAUUAUUAUGAAAAUGACGUGUAAUAAAACCACAGGUUGUGUGACAUUGCCGUACAUGCAGUCGGUGAGUCCACAGACGAACAUGCAUUUGUUUUGAGUCACAUUAAUUAAGCAGUGAAUGGGGGCACUAGUUGUCCAUCUUUAUAUGACCCAAUGACUUAAGAUAUCUAUAUAUAUGCAUACGGACUUUAAAAAGUAGAAGCAAUACAGCCUUAGAAAGGCAGUGCGUGCAUGGAAAAAGAUUAUUAGGUAACGAUAUAAAUUUACGGUACCUAAUACAUUAGCGCUAAUUGAUAAUUUUUUGAUACUCUAAUAAUAAUAUUGACAAUUAGUGUCGAAAUAUCAGGUACGAUAAGUGUCGAAUUGAGAAUAUAUUAGGUACGAUAAAUUGAUAUUAAGUAUUUCGUCGGUAGUUGGUAGGUACUUAGUAGCUAUCAAGUAAAUAUUAUAUGAGAUACGAAGAUCAACAUGAAUUAUAUCUUUGUAAUUUAGUAGCUAUGCUUGUAUCUGGUCCUGAUUUGCAUAUCUAUUAUUAGGUAAAAUACUUUGAAAUUAUUGAACUUUAAACAUUUUCAUUAAUCAAAGGGCUAUUAAGAACCCAAAGGCAAAUAUAAUGGUUUACGUGGGUGGGUAUGGAACUUGUGUGUAUUCUUUGACCUUGUCAAUCUUAUUAAUGAGUGUUGGUUGGUGGGGUCCCGAUUUGCAUAUCAAUUAUUAGGUAAAUUACUUUGAAAAAGCACAAAUCGUCAAAGUUUGUGGACAUGAGGGAUAGAUACUGUGGCUGGAUUGUCAACAAUGACAGAGUGAACGACUUUUCUUCAUGGUGUGCUUUAGCUACAUCUUCUAUCCUUCUGCGUUGGUCACAUUCAUGUAAUCUUGUACAUGAAGCAACUUACCACAAAGGCUACCAAAACUUUAAUAACUAUAGGUCCUACUACCUGUGCAUUUUUACUUGACUAAUACAAUUAGUGUAAAUGUCCUUUUACUAUAUAAUUAGGUAUAUCCAUACAAAAUAAAUCUUUAAUCUUGAACAUAUUUAUACAUGAUAUACGGAUUCUAUGACUCACAAAGAAAACCUACCAUACAUUUGUGUUUAUGUUUAAUCUCAUUUUCUCUUUUGUAAUUCCAUCUACUUUUCAUAAGAAUUUGUUUGAACCAAUUUAUAUAUAAAAACUACCCUUGUUUUUAGAUGAUUAUUGUGGUAGGAUGAAAUCAACAAAAUAGACAAACACGGUAUUUCAAGAAAAGACUAUAAUAACAACUAUCUAAUUGAAUGAUCAAAUAGUUUCGGAUCCAAGUGAUUGUCGCAAAGAUGAUCUUUGAAGAAAUAUCUAAAAACUAAAUGGUAUCGGAUUAUUGGAAUGCAAGGUGAGUCUUAUAAGAGUGUCCUUCAAAUAAGCUUAUUUGAGAAAUCCCUCAACUAAAGUCAUAUCAGUCUCCUUCUAACAGUAUAUAUAUACACACCACACCUUUUGUGAAAAUCUAAAAAUACUAAAUUAGGAAUGAAAACUGACAGUUAAAGAACUCUCGUGAUCACUCUACAAGAUUGUGACCUGAAUGAUGAAUCAGCAGCUUAAGUUUCAGCCUGUUUGCCACAUACCUUGAAAGUAUCCCACCCAAUUAAUCACACAAAAACAACUUCUUUUGACUUGAUCACACAAGACAACUUAGCUAGCUUUUAUUGUCCCGCCUCUAAUAAAAGCUUACUUAAUACGUAGUCCCAUCAACCCUACCAUCAAAGUAGGGGUUGAAUUUGGCGCUCUUUAACCUUUAAUCACCACAAGAGUCACAAAUUCUUCUCUUCUCUCUCCUUAUCUUUCCAACCCCACUGAUAUCUCAUAAAGGUCUAUAAAUAGGGACAACCAAGCCAUAUUAUACUCACUCAUCAAUCAUCUCUUGCAUACUUUCAUAUAUACAUUAUCGUGCUUGUUGUUAAGCAAAACAUGGCAUCCUCAAAGGCUUUUCUUCUUCUUGGUCUUGUCUUUGUUGUUCUCCUCAUCUCCUCUGAGGUCUCAGCUACUCCAACUCGUGAGUUUCUCACUUUCUUAACUAAAUUAUAUAUAUUAAAUUAGUAAUUGUAUCUUUCUUUCCAGUAACGAUUUGUGAAUUUAGGCACAUUUUAAUUAAGGUGCACUGGUCGUGAAAAUGAUUAUGCUUUGAACUCUUUUUCUGCAUGUAGGGUUAGUGGUUGUUGCACUUGCAUGGCUUAAUUUGCACCUUAUUAAAUACAAACUGAUCCAUGAUUGUUAUAAGUUAUGUAUAUGUUUUUGCUUUAUAUAUAAAAUUUUUGUUUGUUCUCUCAGAGGAGAGUAUAGUCAACGGUGAUGGCCACGGACAUGGAGAGUAUGGCCAUGGACAUGGAGGUUAUGGACACGGACAUGGAGGGCAUAACCACGGACAUGGAGGGUAUGGCCAUGGACAUGGAGGGUAUGGCCACGGCCACCACGGCAAAGGGGGGCCGGGUGCUGCUGAGACUGAAAUCGAGAAUUAGAUAACCUAUUAGUUUCUGUGACUUACGUUGCAGGUGUGUUGUAAGGGUAGUAGUACGAAAUAAAGUUGUUUGGUUGAGUAAUCUAUAUGAAAUCUCAAUCAUAGACUCGUCUUAAGCUUGUUCUCGUGUUCUCUGUAAUGUACGCAUUGGAAUGUGUU